GCCCAGCCAUGAUAGCUCAGUUGGUAGAACAUGAAACUGUUAAUCUCAGGGUCAUGGGUUCGAGCCACACUUUGGGCA